AGUGAACGCUGGCGGUAGGCCUAACACAUGCAAGUCGAACGGCAGCACAGUAAGAGCUUGCUCUUACGGGUGGCGAGUGGCGGACGGGUGAGGAAUACAUCGGAAUCUACUUUUUCGUGGGGGAUAACGUAGGGAAACUUACGCUAAUACCGCAUACGACCUACGUGUGAAAGCAGGGGAUCUUCGGACCUUGCGCGAUUGAAUGAGCCGAUGUCGGAUUAGCUAGUUGGCGGGGUAAAGGCCCACCAAGGCGACGAUCCGUAGCUGGUCUGAGAGGAUGAUCAGCCACACUGGAACUGAGACACGGUCCAGACUCCUACGGGAGGCAGCAGUGGGGAAUAUUGGACAAUGGGCGCAAGCCUGAUCCAGCCAUACCGCGUGGGUGAAGAAGGCCUUCGGGUUGUAAAGCCCUUUUGUUGGGAAAGAAAAGCAGCAGGUUAAUACCCCGCUGUCCUGACGGUACCCAAAGAAUAAGCACCGGCUAACUUCGUG
rnacentral:rRNA from 1 species